GAGUCUCAGCAGCAGCUGAGCUGGAGCAGCAAACAUGCUGCUGCUGGCAGCUCUGAUGGUCGCAACUGUGUGGCCCAAUGCAUUUGCACAGGAAACUCCCAUACAGAGCCCUGUAUCCAUCACCAUGUCACGAGGAAAUACAGAUCUGAAGUGUCAUUUUAAAGACUUCUCUGGAAAUUUUGAUAACACCGUCAUACACUGGUAUCAACAGAAGGAGAAUAAAGCUCCAGUGAGGAUGAUCUACUUUUCAUCAGGGUCAGUAGCAGUAGAUGAGAGCUUCCAAAGGCACAGAUACAGGAUUCAAACUAUUCCUACACAGAGACUUUGCACUCUUACAAUAAGAAAUGUAAUUCCGGAUGAUGCUGCUACUUACUACUGUGCCUACUGGGACCCUCACUAUGGCAGAUGCCAAACAAUCACCUCUGCAAAUACUUUCUCGGCAGCUCUCCUGUAAAUGAUAUGAAAGGUAACAAAUCCGCUCCCAUGGUUUGGAUGAGCUGCUCAGCCAGAAGCAGUUCUGUCUAAAUCUCUCUGAGGAUUUGGAGAUCUGCUUCUCUGAAAUGAAGGAUUCUGAAGCUAUCUGCAAAGACCAUGUUGAUCA